rnacentral:rRNA from 1 species
AGGCGUACGGGUGAGUAACACGUAGGUAACCUACCUUUAAGACUGGGAUACCCAGACGAAAGUUUGGCUAAUACCGGAGUAACAACAUUUGAGACAUCUCUUUGUUUGAAAGGCGCUGCAAGGCGCCACUUUUAGAUGGAACCUGCGUCGCAGUUAGCUAGUUGGUGAGAUAAAAGCCCACCAAGGCUGGGAUGCCGUAAGCCGAUCUGAGAGGAUGACCGGCCACAAUGGGGGCUGAGACACGGCCCAUACUCCUACGGGAGGCAGCAGUAGGGAGUUUUCGGCAAUGGGGGAAACCCUGACCGAGCAACACCGCGUGAGUGAUGAAGGUCUUCGGAUCGUAAAGCUCUGUUACGAGGGACGAAUGAUCGCUUUAGGAAAUGAGAGCGGUUUGACGGUACCUCGCCAGAAAGCGACGGCUAACUACGUGCCAGCCGCAGC